UGAUAACUGUUAUUCAUUUUGUUUCCUGAGACAGGGUUUUGCUGUGUUUUUCUGGCUGGCCUGAUUUUAUGUAGACCCCAGGUUCUUUUCUUAGCCUACUACAUAGUGGAAUUAUAGGCUGAUUCUACCACAACAUUAGCAUUUCUUUCUUUUUUCCUAAUAAAUAUAUUUUUAAAAUUUCUUUAAUUAUUAUAUAUGUGGUUGUAUAAGUGCCACAGAACACGUGGGGGUCAAAGGGCACCUUUGGUGUGUCAGUUCUCUGGUGGGAUCUAGAGAUUAGACUCAGGUCAUCAGGUUUGUGUGAUAAGCACUUUUAUCUGUUGAGCCAUCUUGUCAGCCCACUGUGUGUGUUAAUGGUGGUGGCGUGAGGAUGAAGGCUAGAGGAUGAUGUUGUUGUUCUUCCAUCAUUUUCCACCCUUUAUCUUGAGGUAGAGUCUCUCAAUUAAAUCCAGAACUUAGCAAUUUGGUUAGUCUAGCUAAGUGGCUUCUCCUGUCUCUCUUCCAUGUGCUGACCACACCAUGCAAAACUGGCAUAUAUGUUGGUGCUAUGGAUCUGAACUCUGGCCCUUAUUGCACAGCAGAUUCUUUCCCUGUUAAGGCCUCUAUCAACCCUAGAACCCAUUCUUACUAAGCAGGUUUUGCCGUAUCAGUUAACAUUUCUGCAAGAUAAUUGAUAUGUAUGACAAUAGAUCUCAGUAUGCUGCCUGUUUAUUUUUCUCCUGUAUUUAUUUUUGUAUGGUGUGUGUCCGUGCACACUGUAUGUAACACACCUCUGCACAGAGGCCUGAGGAGAAGUCAGUUAUUCACUCUAUCUAAUUUCUUGAUUGAGUCUUCCACUAAAUCUGGAGCUAAACUGGCAGCUAGCAAGCACCAGCAAUCUCCUGUCUGUUCCCAUAGCACUGGGACCACACCCAGCUUUUACAAAGGGGAGUGUGUGUGUGUGUAUGUUGUGUGUGUGUGUAAUUAAUUCUUUCUGGAGAAAGGUGUAUUGUGUAGCAUAUCAAUGGGAGUCAGAGAACACUUGGCAGGAGUCAUUCUCGUGUUCCAUCCUGUUGGUUCUAGGAAACAACCUUGAAUAGUAAGCCUUGGUGGCAAACAAGCCCAGGCAUCUCACACUCAUUAAUCCAUUUUCUAUGCAGGAAGAUUUUUAAAAAUAUAUUCCAAAUGCUGUGGUGUCACAUUAUUCCAGGCUGUUUCCUCAAAUACUGUAGAAAACUUCACAGCAGAAAACUGAAUUUUAAUAUAUUAUACAUUCUCAGUUCUCUUAUACUACACCAAUAUUAAGGAUUAAUUUGCAUGCUAAAAAUGAUACCACUAAACUAUAUUCCCAGCCUUACUCUUUUAAUUGAGAUAGGGUCUCAUUAAGUGGUCAUGUCAACUUUGAAUUUAUUCUAUAACCCAUAUAGGCCUCAAACUUGAGAUUCUUCUGCCUCAGUCUCCCAAAUAGCUAGAAUUACAGAUCUAUGUCACCAGGCACAGUUACUCCUUUCUUUGUUUUUUCUUUGUAGCAUACUUUGCCAAAGCAUAUAUGACUUGGCAUCUUUUAUCAUGGUCUUCUAGUCCUAUCCACUAUUAGUUUCAAGUUAAAGGCAGAGAACUUGCAAAGCAAAGUUUGUUUUGUUUUUGUUUUUAAUUAUUUAAUGUAUAUGAGUACACUGUAGCUGUCUUCAGACACACCAAAAGAGGGCAUCUGAUCCCAUUACAGAUGCUUGUGAGCCACCGUGUGGUUGCUGGGAACUGAACUCUGGAAGAGCAGUCAGUGAGUGCUCUUAACCACUUAGCCAUCUCUCCAGCCCCCAAGUUGUUUGCUGUUGUUUUUUUGUUUUGUUUUGUUUUUGUUUUUUUUUGUUUAUUUUUUUUAAUAGUAUGGUUUGAGUUUUAAAGUACUAAGUUGCCUUUCUCCUUUAGGUUUGCUCUAUCCAGGUGUUCUUUUCCCUCUUUUCUUCAGUUUUGAUAUAUACUAUGAUGUCAGUAUUUUCCAGGCUUCCAUUGUCCAACCAUUUUAUACUUCAGACAUGAUUUUUACUAAUAGGUGAUUGUUUUAAGUCAUAAUUUUCAAAGAUCUUAAGAGAUAGUCACUUCAAUUUAGCUGGCAAUGUGUCAGCUAACAUACUUAAGAGAUGUUUUGAUUUGGAGAGUGUCAUAUUUUCAAACUAUUUGUGGAGAUAAUUCUCUUUGUCUUCAUUGUAGCAUGUUGAUUUCAACACUAAAACAGUACUUGUUAAGAUAAAGGAACUGUAGAAUUUCUUUCACAUGAAUUUUCCAACAGAACAAUUCAUAAAUUUGAUAAAUAUUAUAUUCUUGUUCCUUGGCCUGUCAUUCAUUUUAAGAUCUAUACUGUACUGUACUAUACUAUACUACUGGUAGGGAGUUUCUGUACUUAAGGAUUUUUAUCUCAUAGAGAACAACUUAUGUAGAUAUUAGAAAUAAAUACAUUGAUUUUCUAUUCAUUUAAUGAGAUUUUGUGAUUCAGUGUUUUAUUUCAUUUCAUUUGCCUCCAUUGUCUUUCUUUUUUUUUUUUAAAGAUUUAUUUAUUUAUUAUAUGUAAGUACAUUGUAGCUGUCUUCAGACACUCCAGAAGAGGGAGUCAGAUCUUGUUAAGGAUGGUUGUGAGCCACCAUGUGGUUGCUGGGAUUUGAACUCUGGACCUUCGGAAGAGCAGUUGGGUGCUCUUACCCACUGAGCCAUCUCACCAACCCCUGCAUUGUCAUUCUAAAUUAGUCCACUAAAAGGAAGAAAUAUCUGUGGAAUGCAUCUUAUAAGUCUAUACACUAAGUAUUGGGAAAGUAACUUAAAUCAUUUCAUUUAGUCUCUAAUUUGAUAUGCAUAGUUAGAGAGGUUCAUGCAUGUAACCCUAGUGCUCUGGAGACUGAGACAGAAAGAUUGUUGAAGAGUUCCAAACUAUCCAAGGUGCACACUGCAUUACAUCUUACCUGGGCUAUUAUGUGAGCCUGUCUCAUAAGACAGAAUCAAAGCAAAACAAAAAGCCACAUCUGCCUCAUUAUUCUUAUUUGUAAAAUAAAAUGUAAUACUAUCUUCUAGAUUUUUAUUAUGAUCAUGUAAAUUUUACUAUGGUCAUUACGAGUUCCAAAGGUAGACAAUACAGUGUAAUAAAUGUGCCUUUUCUUAUGCUGACAGAUAGUUAACUUGAGUCAUAUUUUUGUUUUGUCUGUUUUGUGAUAUGAUCUCAUGUAACCCAGGCUUUCCCUGAACUUGCUAUGUAGUAGAUAAGGAUUACCUUUGAAGCUCUGAUGCUCCUGCCUUCACUGUGUGAGUGAUCUAGUCCAGUUGGUAGAACUAGUAUACUCGAGGCACCUGAGGCUUCAAGUUUGCUUGAGCAGAGCAUCAUGGCAGAAGCAUGAGGUGGAGGGUACUCUUUGAUUCUUGGCAGAUAUUAAAUGAAUAGAAGCUUUAUUUUCAUAUUCAUAUUAUUAUAUAUCUAUACCUAAUAUACUGUUUUAUUUGUGUUAAGAAAGGCAGGAGAGAUGGCUCAGUAGUUAAGAGGAUGGCUGUUUUUCCAAAGGACCAGGGUUCAAUUCCCAGCAUCCAUAUGACAGUUCACAACUGCCUGUAACUCCAGUUCCAAGGGAUCUGACACCCUCUCACAGACACAUAUAUAGGCAAAACACCAAUGCACAUAAAAUAAAAAAAAUAAAUUAUUUUUAAAAAUACCGUACAUAGAAAAUAAACUCAGAACAGUAUUUAGUGUGUGGCUUUCUAAAACUUUUAUCUGAUAUUUUUAUUUUAUUAGCAUACAUUGUACACAACAGUGAAUUUAAUGAUAACAUUUUCACACUCAAAUAUAAUGUAUUUUGAUCAUGUUUACUCUCCCUUUCUCUCUCCCACUUUUCACUGUUUUCCUUCUUCCCAAGUAAUCCCCCUUUGCUUCCAUGAGAUUUGUUUUUUAUGACCCAGUGAAUUUAGUUAAGUUUGCUUACAGGAGCUUACGUGAGAUUAUUUAUGGGAGUAUGGGAACUUACCAGUAACUACAUC
rnacentral:lncRNA from 1 species